AGCUAAAUUCUCGAGGGUCAAAGUUACACAACUUGUUUUCUACCCAUGACUGCACGGAACUACUUUUACAACAACCAAGCUGUAGCCACAAACUUCUUGGUCAGACUUAUUUUGAGUUGGGGUGGAAAGUGUGCCGGGUGUUGUUCUUCAUAAAGGAUGAAUGGGAAGAAUGGACACAAUAGAGACGAGGCAGUACUUAGAGAGAAAAUUAUUUACUCUUCGCCUUACGUUUCCGGUUAACUUGUCUUGGCUGGUCCUUUUCCUUUAUUUCCUUUCUUUACUUCUGUAUGACAUCCUACACCGCUUUACAAUAUCAGCAUCAGUAUCUUUUAUGAAAUUUAUUGUUAAAAUUACAGUUGCAAACAUAAGUCUUUUGGCAGGAUCGUUCGCUAAUUAGUUGUUGUGUGUUUAUUAUACAUUUAAUACACAGACUACAUAUCCUUUAACUUUUUCCUUAAGUCUGUUUGUUAUGGAUUAAUAUAGAGUUCUAGCUAUUUUAUAUUUAGUUUCUAUAUAGGAACUGGCUGAAACCCCAAUGAAUGCUUGUUUCUGAUUCGUGGCGUCCGCUGUCUCCAUGGACACGCUGUAAACAUUCUAACGGAAAGCAGACGUUUGGCCAGUUGACUUUCACUCUCACCUUGUCCUACGCGAGAAUCUGUUCUUGGCUCUUCUCACAAGAACAGUUUGAAAUAAAAUCACCGCACAGGCCAUCAAUCUUCAGCUUUUUGUAACAGCGUGGAGCAGAGGACACAAGGAUGCAAGGAAAAGAAAGCAGUCCUCCAUCUGAUGCACCCCCUGCGUACAGCCAGCCCCUCCUCCACCGGUAGUACAACCGCAGUGGGGGUACCAGCAGCCUGUGAUGAUGCAGCCGCAGCAGUCGUCUGUCAGCAACACCACAGUCGUCGUCAACCAGGCAGCUGCACCUGCGCACAAACCGCUGCGCUCCUGGACCACCGGCCUGUGCGGGUGUUUCGAGGACUGUGGCGUGUGUUGCUGCGUAACAUUCUGUAGGCCGUGCGCCGAGAUGUCGCUUGCCAUGGACAUGGGAGAGAACUGCUGCAUUCCUUACUUAGUGCCAGGCUGGCUUGUCACCCUUAGGACCAAGAUUCGCACUCAGCACAAUAUACACGGAAGUGUGUUGGACGACUGCUGUCUCGUGUAUUUUUGCUACGAGUGCGCCCUUUGUCAGACGAUGAGGGAGGUCAAGCUCACCAGGGGCACCUGAAGCAGAAACCAGUCCUGCCGCUGGUCUUGUGAUGAUUCCACUGACUUCCAUGGCUUGACUCAUCGUGAAAUCGUCACCGUCGUCAUCGUCGUCAUCAUCAUCAUACCUUACAUCGUGUUUGCUAUUGUUUCACAUUUUUCUACAUUCAUUUUUAUUAUGUGGUGUGUGCCUGUAGUUUAAAAUGAAUAAAGUAACAUACGUAGGAUAUUUUUUUUCAGCAUAUCUUCCCUCUCAAGUUGUCAAGGCAGCUGCCCCCCACGUGCCCUGAACGGUGUAGGAAUAUAACAGCCUAAAGAUUAUCAUGAAUAAAGUAAAAGUCUAGAACAUUUUUUCUGCAACGCUCUUAACCCUUUCCCCAACAUCCUUGCCAGGUUUCUUACUUCAUUUAGUUGUAAAAUUUUAUUUUUUUUACUUUCGAAUGUUUAUUUAUUUGGUGGAUUGCAGUGAGCGUUAUCUGUACACAGUGUGCAAGACAUUACAUUUUGAACUUUUAUUGUAGUUUUAUGGAAUUCUUUCUGAUAAUUGUCAUUAAUUUAUAAAUGCUUUAAUUCUUUUUAUGAAUAAUAAAAUUAAUGUCAUGUCAAUAGAA